UCAGGUCGCGGCUCGGGGUCGCUGCGGGGGCCGGGGCGGCGUUUGGCUACUCUCGGCCCCCGUAUCCGAAGGAAGCUGAGUCCGUUGGAAUGGUCGUUACUGGUUUAUCUUGUUCCUGGAAAGUUCCAGGGGGCUCCCUCAUGCAGUUUUGACAGUGGGAAUUCGAAGUAGGUGGGAGAAAAGAGCCACGAGGACUAUCAUCUGAGCCAAGCUACUGCCAUCUUCAGUUCAGCUGGGCCUGAUCAUAAACUGUCACAGCUGGGACUGUUGACGACUUCUCUCUUAGAAAGAAGGGGAAGAAUCAUGGGACCUAUUCCUGAGUAUCCAGCUGCCCCUGCCAACCAGGUCAAGUGUGUCGUUCAUCGCUGCAGCAUCAACUGCCCACCAUUGCUGCACUCUGCUACUUCCCCUUAGUUCUGAACUCACAAGAGGCCCACUCUGCAGUGCACAUGGCCUGAAACACACCCACUCAGACUGGGACUAUGGGUUGAGCAAGACUCAAGUCAUCUGGGAGAAAUGAAGGAAGCUCAUCCAUGUUCAAGACAAGCAUAUAAGCCAGAUACGCUGCUUCAUGUUAGAACCCUACCUUCAGAGGAAGCUGAAGUAAGAGGGUUGAACAUGUUCAAAGUUUGAGGCCAGCUUGGACUACAUAGGGAGAUACUGUGUCAAAAAGCAAAAUUCAGGCCAUAGACUCCUGUCAACAUAAAAGAAGUGAUUUAACCUACCAAGGAUCUGUAAGAAGGUCAACCUAAUGCUGUGUGGUGCUGGGAGCAACCCUGUUCUGGGAAAGCUAACAAGUGUUUUCAUCAAUCAACAAUGAUCUCAGUGGAGAAGCAGGACACAUUUAUGAAUCAGAAUCGGACAAGAUUCUCAAACUACCAGUGUGUGCCUCAGACUCGACUAUUCCCUGUCUACAGAUAGCACACGAUACACUCAGAAGCUUAUUACUGUAGAUGAUUGAAAGGAAGAGGGUGCAAGUAUAUUUUGAAAAAGAGCGAACUUUAAGCCAGAAGCUGAAGGAUCAGAUGUAGGUAGUUUAGGCUUUGUGGGCCAUAUGGUCUUUGUCACAACUAUCUAAUUUCACUGUUAGAACAGGAAAAGCAAUAAACAAAUUAGUCUGGCUAUGUUUCAACAAAACAUGAUUUUUAAAAGCUAACGGCUAGAUUUGGCCCAUGGCCCAUAGUUUACCAACCUCUGACCACACAUAAUACAUCUUAAAAAUAAAUUGGUGUCUACAAGCAUUAAAUCUUUUAAAAAGGAUUUCUAUGAUUAAGUUUGAAAAACUCAACUCUUAACCCUCACUACUCAUAACACUGGAAUCAACAGUAUUAGCAACUGCAUUGAGAACAGAAUUUCAGGGUCCUACCUCAGAAACUCCAGUUAACAAGCACCCCGGAUGAGAAGCUGCUCUGAAAAGGACAACUCUGUAGUCAGCACUUGGGAGUCUCAAAGUCAAAGGACUGAAAGUUCAAGGUAGGCAUUGACCAAACAAAACAACAACAAAAACUUACUGAGGCAAGGAGACUAUUAUACAGAAUAGACUGCACCAGUGUGCAUGUAGGACCUGACUGUCCAGUGCCUACAAGUUCCAGGAGUCAACGUUCCCUUUCACCACAUCCUCUACUACUCAUGGACCCUCUACUACUUAUGGCAUAUACAGGCAAGUGCCUGCUUUAUGUCACUUAUAGGUCUGUAUAAAUAAACAACCAAUGGAGAUAGUUGAUAGUUUGCAGCUUACCU